rnacentral:rRNA from 1 species
GACUGUGCUAAGGUAGCAUAAUAAAUUGGCUUUUAAUUGUAGUCUAGUAUAAACGGGUUUACGAGUAAAUUCUGUCUCUUAAGGAUUUUUUUGAAUUUUCUUAUGGGGUGAAAAUUCCCCUACAUAAUACGAUAGACGAGAAGACCCUUAGAGUUUUUAAGAAUAAGUGACAUACAUUUCAUUUUUACUUUUUGUUGGGGCGACAUAUAAGCAUUAUUAUAACCUUAUAUUUUGUAAUUUAAACAAGUGAAUAAUUAUAAAAGAUGAAACUACCUAAGGGAUAACAGCAUAAUUUAAUAAUAAGAUUAUGACCUCGAUGUUGGACUAGGA